CAAUAGCGUAUAUUAAAGUUGUUGCGGUAAAAAAGCUCGUAGUUGGAUUUCUACCGAAGAUAGCCGGUCGGGUCUUCGACCUUGUAUCUGGUUUUGUCUUUGGUAUCCUCAUAGGGAACGUUUCUGCGCUUUAUUGCGUGGUGCGGUAUCUAUGACUUUUACUUUGAGGAAAUUAGAGUGUUCACGGCAGGCAAACGCCUUGAAUAUAUUAGCAUGGAAUAAUAACAUAGGAUCUUCGUCCUAUUUUGUUGGUUUCUAGGGCUAAGAUAAUGAUUAAUAGGGAUAAUUGGGGGCAUCUGUAUCAACGCGUCAGAGGUGGAAUUCUUGGAUUGCGUUGCGACAAACUACUGCGAAAGCAUUUGCCAAGGAUGUUUUCGUUGA
rnacentral:rRNA from 1 species